CCAUAUGUUUGAGUUCUGCUUUAUGAACAAGGGAAGAGGGCUAACAACUUGCCUGAACAGGUGAGUUAUCAUCAACCCAAAGGAGAAUUUCUAUCUUAAAGCCACUACAAGAAAGGAACACAAUAAAAGCUGUUCUGCUCGAGGCUGCUCUUCUGCUUUGUCUAUACUUUUCUAGUCCUAGUGGGUGAUGCCACAAGAUCUUUAACAUUCAGAUCCCCCAGUCCACUAGUUAACAGGCAGGAGCAUUUCAAAGAAAGCAUGGAUGACUAUGAUAUAAGGUCUGCUGCCAGCAUUUUAGCCUCCGUUAAGGAGCAGGAGGCGCGUUUUGAGCGGCUGACCCGGGCACUCGAGGAAGAGCGGCGCAAUGUCUCCCUGCAACUUGAGCGUGCCAAUCAGCCAGCAGACCGAAUGAGCAUUUGCAAC